AUUGAACGCUGGCGGCAUGCUUUACACAUGCAAGUCGAACGGUAACAGGUUAAGCUGACGAGUGGCGAACGGGUGAGUAAUGCAUCGGAACGUGCCCGAUCGUGGGGGAUAACGCAGCGAAAGCUGCGCUAAUACCGCAUACGAUCUGAGGAUGAAAGCGGGGGACCGUAAGGCCUCGCGCGAUCGGAGCGGCCGAUGUCAGAUUAGGUAGUUGGUGGGGUAAAGGCUCACCAAGCCAACGAUCUGUAGCUGGUCUGAGAGGACGACCAGCCACACUGGGACUGAGACACGGCCCAGACUCCGACGGGAUGCAGCAGUGGGGAAUUUUGGACAAUGGGCGAAAGCCUGAUCCAGCAAUGCCGCGUGCAGGAAGAAGGCCUUCGGGUUGUAGACUGCUUUUGUACGGAGCGAAAAGGUCUCCUCUAAUACAGGGGGCUCAUGACGGUACCGUAAGAAUAAGCACCGGCUAACUACGUGCCAGCCGCCGCCGUAA
rnacentral:rRNA from 1 species